CUCACACCCUUUGCUGGCUGGGUAUGGCUAUGAGGAGACAUGGAAAUACAUCUUUUCCUGUAAUUUGCUGUAAAGGAGGAAUGUAAAUUCAGAAGUUGUUUUUGUGCCAUUUCCAACUCUUCCUCUAGCCCUUAGAGCCACGAUUCUCAAAGGAUGACGCAGGAGAAGGAAGCCUUGGGCUGCUAAUUACCCCUGUGUCAACACCCUCACCUUUGGCAGCAGUGAUACCUUCCUUGCCUUGGCUGUACCCUGGAGAACUCCUUGCAGUGCUUCCUCACGGCUUGGCCUUCUUGGACAUCGGAGCCCAGUGCAGCCUGUAAAAACUAUGCCACAGACCCCAGGAGAUAUCUGUGAUCUGAUGCCUGAAGCUCUAGAGGGAAAACUGAUGCUUUUCAGCUGCUCAGUUGCAUUAAGCUAGACUGAAGUCCUUUUAUCUUACUAUUAAUUUUCUCCAUGCACCAUGACCCUAUCUGCAUAACGUGUGCUGGGCAGUCGGGUCUUAGAGAUGGUGGCCUCUUCGUAGUCACUAAGGGAGGUUGCCUUGGACAAUUUUCUCUCUCUGUGGAACUGACCAAGAAUGUCCAAAAUAUUGCCAUGAUUUUAAGCCUGAUUUCUCCCAUUAUAAAAAAAAAAAAAAAAAAGUCUUAAAUUCAUCCAAGAUUCUUCCUAUUUUUCAGUGCAUAUUCUUUAGUAUUUUUUUUUUCUCUAAUUUGAAGAACAAGGAUGAAUUUUUCGAGAGUUCAAGCUGCCUUCUAAGCUCAGCAACAGGAAGGCCUGUGCUUCCCACCAGUCCCACAAGCUGCGAAGAGGUGCUGUGACCUGCAGCUCUGACUCAGAUCGUCUUAGAAAUAGCACUCCAUUUUACCUGGGAGCUGUGGAGGUGCAAGCAGAUUAAUCAGUUGUCCUGAAGGAUCACCUGAAGAGAAUGGCUGUCAGUAAAAGGAUUAGCAUUCAAACAGUAAGCGGCUGUCAGACUUUGUUUAAAAGACUAGGGAAGCCAAAUGUCAGUGUAUCCAAUAGGUGCAGUUGUUAAAACAGACCUACAUGUAUUAUUCUGGUGUUCUGUGUAGCAAAUGGCUAGUAUCUUCCUCUGUUAUCCAUAGUCUCCUAGGAUUCCCUACUGCUUACUCUAAACCAACCUAUCCCCCAACUUGUUCAAUUUAUAACACAGUGUGCAUCUUUGUUGUAUGGUCUAACUUCUUUUUCCCCUGCUCCAUCUCUGGGAGCUCUGAGAUCAGAAUCCACCUCUUGCAUUGACUCAUUUUUUUCUUCCUUGGUCCCUCUUUACAAACUCUUCAUAGAGGGCAGGCUUCAUAGUCUGGCUGCCCUGGGAGCCUACACCCUGCCAGCCUCAGGAGCACGCCAUUUCUUUCUCUUGAUCAGGGAGGACAAGGCAGGGGCACGAGUGAGGGUCCAGGAACAGACAGGACAGUUUGCAGAGGGGUGGAGGGACAAAAAUGUCUACAAUCAACAGAGCAGGCUCUUAACACUUGAAACAACCCCCUUGGGUAUUAAGUCAUGUUGCCUUUGCUGCUAAGACCCUCAAAACACAAAGGCAUGUCUUUAAAUAUAUGUAUAAAAAAAUACAAGUAGCUUGAGUGGUCGAUGAAAAAGAAGAGCACUGAGCAGCUCUUGUUGGCCAAGCAACUCAUGCAAAAUUAGUAGUUGCUGGCAGUAGUUGUGCCCCUUUGUGCAUGUGCUGCUCCCAUUGCAUAACCAUACGCCGUACCCAGGUAAGCUUCAUGUCAGUGUUCACCUCCACACUUGUAUUUUUAGUGCACAGCCACCCAAAAUGUGCAACUCAUCUUCUCCUCUGUGUCAUCAUGGAUUGCCUAUACUCUCAACCUUUGAUCACCUAUCUCUCUUCCUAUUUAAUAAUGUCAGGGCCUUUUUAUCAUCGCAAAAGACACCAACAAAAUUACCUUUACCCUUCCUGACAAGAUAAUCUCAAGCGAAGCUAGCAUAAAGAUAAGGUGCUCACCUUCACACUUAUUGCAUUACAGCAGCAGUAUAAAAUGAGUUGUGAAAUUUAUCUUCUACCUUUCGUUAAACUUUUUCACGUGCUUUAAUCACAACUCAAUUGAAAACCAGUUUUUUUCACUGACCUUAAAGAGGCCCUUAUCAGAGCUGAGCAUGGAGGAAUUUCCUCCUUCCUACUUUGUUUUCUCCAUACUCGGACUGCCUGAGGUCCAUCCUGAAGGUUGGUGAUUUGCAAUAUUGCGAUUUCAAGAAUCCCUGAAUGAACGUACUGCAGUGCAGGCCACCUGCUGCCCCGGAUGCCUCCCUUGCUAGGUAGGGGCACCUGCAUUAAGGGGGUAUUGGUCUGAGCCACAGCUGUACAUAGCAAAAAGGAAAGCCGUUGCUGCUAAGUCUGUCUGCUUGAUGAUCACCACCCAACAGUACAUUUUAUUGCUGAUGUCACAUGAGUAUCGCAAUAAAUAUUAAGUACCUGUCCCAAAGCAUACCAGCUAGUGACACUUGCAGCUAAAUCAGGCCCACGCUGAUGUUUACAAGAUAUAUUUAGUAGAC